AGGGCACACGGUGGAUGCCUAGGCAUACAGAGGCGAAGAAGGACGUGUAAAGCUGCGAUAAGCUGCGGGGAGCUGCAUAAGAGCAAUGAUCCGUGGAUUUCCGAAUGGGGCAACCCAUCCGCCAAUUGGCGGAUACUCCUUUCGAGGAGGGCAUACGGGGGGAACUGAAACAUCUAAGUACCCCCAGGAGAAGAAAACAAUCAAGUGAUUUCCCAAGUAGCGGCGAGCGAACGGGAAGCAGCCCAAACCGGCUUCCUACGGGGAGUCGGGGUAGUAGGACCUGCGUAAUUGAAGCGAGCUUAAGUCGAAACUGCCUGGAAAGCAGUCCCACAGAAGGUGAAAGGCCUGUAGGCGUACGGCGAGCGGAGAGGCGGGUAUCCUGAGUAGCGCGAGGCCGGUGAAACCUUGCGUGAACCAGCCGGCACCAUCCGGUAAGGCUAAAUACAUCUGUAUGACCGAUAGUGAACCAGUACCGUGAGGGAAAGGUGAAAAGAACGCCGAGAAGGCGAGUGAAAUAGUACCUGAAACCGUGUGCUUACAAGCGGUCGGAGCCUCUCUUUGAGGGGUGACGGCGUGCCUUUUGCAUAAUGAGCCUACGAGUUGCUCCUGUUGUGCGAGGUUAAGCCCCUAAGGGGUGGAGCCGUAGCGAAAGCGAGUCUGAAACGGGCGAGCAGUACAGCGGGGCAGACGCGAAACCAAGUGAGCUAUCCAUGGUCAGGGUGAAGUGGGGGUAAAACCCCAUGGAGGCCCGAACCGCCAGACGUUGAAAAGUCUUCGGAUGAACUGUGGAUAGGGGUGAAAGGCCAAUCAAACUUGGAAAUAGCUCGUACUCCCUGAAAUAUAUUUAGGUAUAGCGUCUGGUUUUGUCUCUCCGGAGGUAGAGCACUGAUUAGGCUAGGGCCCUUCACCGGGUACCAACCCUAGACAAACUCCGAAUACCGGCAGAGAGCCACCAGGCAGUCAGUGGCGGGGUGAUAACGUCCCGUCGCGAGAGGGAAACAACCCAGACCACCAGCUAAGGCCCCCAAAUGUAUGUUAAGUUGAACAAAGAAAGUUGGGUUGCCCAGACAACUAGGAGGUUGGCUUAGAAGCAGCCAUUCCUUUAAAGAGUGCGUAAUAGCUCACUAGUUAAGCGGCCCGGCGUCGAUAAUACACGGGCAUUAAACAUACUGCCGAAGCUGUGGAUCCGCCUUAUGGCGGAUGGUAAGGGAGCAUUCCAGGGGCGCAGAAGCGGAGUCGUGAGACUCCGUGGAGCCCCUGGAAGCGAAACUGUAGGCAUGAGUAACGAUAAGAGGAGUGAGAAACUCCUCCACCAAAAACCCAAGGGUUCCUGAUCAACGCUAAUCGGAUCAGGGUUAGUCGAGACCUAAGGUGUAGCCGCCAGGCGAAGCCGAUGGCAAACCGGUUAAAUAUUCCGGUACCGAUUGUAGCGCCAGGCUAAGGCGUGACGCAGAAGUGACACUCCCGCGUGCUGACGAAUGCACGUUAAAGGGCGUAGGCCGGGGGGCAGGCAAAUCCGCCUCCCAUCAAGGCUGAACCCCGACAGUACUGUGAGCCUGCGGGCAAGCAGAUAGUGGAGGUAAUCCCGCUGCCGAGAAAAGCGUCGUAGUUUGUUACAAUCGCUCGUACCCCAAACCGACACAGGUGGGUGAGGAGAGUAUCCUAAGGUGCUCGAGUAAUUCAUGGCUAAGGAACUAGGCAAAUUCGAUCCGUAACUUCGGGAGAAGGAUCCCCCCUGGUCCGCCUUAUGGCGGAUUGGGGGGCGCAGUGAAAAGGCCCAAGCGACUGUUUACCAAAAACACAUGUCUCUGCUAAGCCGCAAGGCGAUGUAUAGGGACUGACACCUGCCCGGUGCUGGAAGGUUAAAGAAGGGGGUUAGCUUCGGCGAAGCCCUUGACUGAAGCCCCAGUAAACGGCGGCCGUAACUAUAACGGUCCUAAGGUAGCGAAAUUCCUUGUCGGGUAAGUUCCGACCUGCACGAAUGGUGUAACGACUUGGGCACUGUCUCAGCCAUGAGCUCGGUGAAAUUGUGGUAUCGGUGAUGACGCCGAUUACCCGCAGCGGGACGAAAAGACCCCGUGAACCUUUACUACAACUUUACAUUGGCUUUACCGGUUACAUGUGUAGCAUAGGCGGGAGACACUGAACCCCCUUCGCCAGGAGGGGGGGAGUCGCCCAGUGAAAUACCGCCCUUGUAACAGGUGAAUUCUAACCCUGCAAAGCGGGGAACAGUGUAUGGUGGGUAGUUUGACUGGGGCGGUCGCCUCCUAAAGAGUAACGGAGGCUCCCAAAGGUACCCUCAGCACGGUUGGCAAUCGUGCGUAGCGUGUAAAAGCAUAAGGGUGCUUGACUGCAAGACAUACAGGUCGAGCAGGAACGAAAGUUGGGUUUAGUGAUCCGGUGGCACCGCAUGGAAGGGCCAUCGCUCAAAGGAUAAAAGGUACUCCGGGGAUAACAGGCU
rnacentral:rRNA from 1 species